AAACUUUGCAGUCUCAGCUUGAGCAUAUUUCAUCUAUGUUACAGCGAUUUCUCCCUCCUCAGGUUCCUGAUACUUCAACAGCUCGCAGAGAUGAUGAUGGGGCUGAAUGCGGUCCCUGAUAUUUUUUAGACUGUUAUUUAAUGAGUUUUAUAUGUAUCUUUCUUAUAUUUUUCAAAAUACAUUGUAAUUCUAAACUUAUGUAAAUUUAAUCUUAUAUGACAAUAUGAAUGUUUCGAAUGA